rfam:Schistosoma mattheei strain Denwood, Zambia genome assembly, scaffold: SMTD_contig0001303
AUCCAGCUGACGAGUCCCAAAUAGGACGAAACGCGUACCCUGGAU